rnacentral:lncRNA from 1 species
AGGGUUAUGGAGAUCUUUGCAGGGAACUGAAAAUUGAUGUUAUUCUCAGAGAAAGAGCUUUAUAUCUAGCAGAAAAAUAUUGUGGAUAUACACAGAAAUAUAGAGACUUCGAACUGGAAAUUAAUAAGUAUACAAAGGAUGUUAGAAGUCAAGACGUCAUGUAA